rnacentral:rRNA from 1 species
AUUGAACGCUGGCGGCAUGCCUUACACAUGCAAGUCGAACGGCAGCACGGGUGCUUGCACCUGGUGGCGAGUGGCGAACGGGUGAGUAAUACAUCGGAACAUGUCCUGUAGUGGGGGAUAGCCCGGCGAAAGCCGGAUUAAUACCGCAUACGAUCUACGGAUGAAAGCGGGGGACCUUCGGGCCUCGCGCUAUAGGGUUGGCCGAUGGCUGAUUAGCUAGUUGGUGGGGUAAAGGCCUACCAAGGCGACGAUCAGUAGCUGGUGUGAGAGGACGACCAGCCACACGGGGACUGGGCCACGGCCCAGACUCCUACGGGAGGCAGCAGUGGGGAAUUUUGGACAAUGGGCGAAAGCCUGAUCCAGCAAUGCCGCGUGUGUGAAGAAGGCCUUCGGGUUGUAAAGCACUUUUGUCCGGAAAGAAAUCCUUGGCCCUAAUACGGUCGGGGGAUGACGGUACCGGAAGAAUAAGCACCGGCUAACUACGUG